GGGGUGGCAGGCGUCCGAAGGUGAUGGGAGAGACGACCACCAACCCGUCAGGUCGUGGGUUCGAGCCCCACCCGCCCUACCA
rnacentral:tRNA from 1 species